UGACGACAGUUCCUCCUGCUGCUGUGAAGUUUGGCGUGUCAGGAUUUUAGGUCGUCACAGAUUAAAGAGCCCCUCUAAACCAGUGUGUGUUUCUGUCCACUCUGGAUAAUGAGGGGCUCGACACUU